UCGCCCUUAGUUGCCAUCACGUUGGGUGGGCACUCUAAGGGAACUGCCGGUGACAAGCCGGAGGAAGGUGGGGAGUGACGUCAAGUCCUCAUGGCCCUUACGGGCUGGGCUACACACGUGCUACAAUGGCGGUGACAACGGGCAGCGAUGGGGCGACCCGGAGCUAAUCUCGAAAAACCGUCUCAGUUCGGAUUGCACUCUGCAACUCGAGUGCAUGAAGGUGGAAUCGCUAGUAAUCGCGGAUCAGCAUGCCGCGGUGAAUACGUUCCCGGGCCUU
rnacentral:rRNA from 1 species